rnacentral:sRNA from 1 species
GGCGCACGGGUGAGUAAUGUAUAGCUAAUCUGCCCCAUAGUGGAGGACAACAGUUGGAAACGACUGCUAAUACUCCAUACUCCAUUUGUAUAUAAGUAUAAAUGGGAAAGUAGCCCUAUGUAAUGUUUAUUUAAGCAAUUAGAUGAAAAUUAGACUAAACCUAAAUUUAUGAUUUAUGACAAGCGAAGCUUGGAGUGAAUCUUUAUAACUUUAGGUGGGUGCAGGGAGCGAAACUCCCGCUCGUAAAGACUAGCUUGGCUAGUCUGCGAAGUCGUAAUAUUUAAUUGCGAAGCAAGUAAAUAUUACAUAGGGUUUCUCGCUAUGGGAUGAGGCUAUAUCGUAUCAGCUAGUUGG